CCUACGGGGGGCAGCAGUAAGGAAUAUUGGUCAAUGGACGAAAGUCUGAACCAGCCAUCCCGCGUGCAGGAUGAAAGCCCUAUGGGUUGUAAACUGCUUUUAGCAGAGAAGAAAAGCUUCCAUUUAUGGGGGUCUGACGGUAUCUGCAGAAUAAGCACCGGCUAACUCCGUGCCAGCAGCCGCGGUAAUACGGAGGGUGCGGGCGUUAUCCGGAAUUACGGGGUCGAAAGGGUGCGUAGACGUCAGUGGUGAAAGGUUGUCGCUUAACGAUAGAAGUGCCAAUGAUACUGGUACUCUUGAAUUGGGUUGAGGUGAGCGGAAUGUGACAUGUAGCGGUGAAAUGCAUAGAUAUGUCAUGGAACACCAAUUGCGAAGGCAGCUAACUGGGCCUUGAUUGACGCUGAGGCACGAAAGCGUGGGUAGCGAACAGGAUUAGAUACCCUGGUAGUC
rnacentral:rRNA from 1 species